rnacentral:tRNA from 1 species
GCUGGUUUGGCUCAGCGGAUAGAGCAUCAGCCUGUGGACUGAAGGGUCCCGGUUUAAUUCUGGUCAAGGGCA